rnacentral:misc_RNA from 1 species
GUGAGUCAUCGAAUCUUUGAACGCACAUUGCGCCCGCCAGUAUUCUGGCGGGCAUGCCUGUUCGAGCGUCAUUUCAACCCUCAAACCCCCGGGUUUGGUGUUGGAGAUCGGCAUGAGUCCUUCGGGGCGACGCCGUCUCCCAAAUAUAGUGGCGGUCUCGCUGUAGCUUCCUAUGCGUAGUAGCACACCUCGCACUGGAAAGCAGCGCGGCCACGCCGUUAAACCCCCAACUUUUCUGAGUUUGACCUCGAAUCAGGUAGGAUUACCCGCUGAACUUAAGCAUAUCAAUAAGCGGAGGA